rnacentral:rRNA from 1 species
GACGAACGCUGGCGGCGUGCCUAAUACAUGCAAGUAGAACGCUGAAGGAGGAGCUUGCUUCUCUGGAUGAGUUGCGAACGGGUGAGUAACGCGUAGGUAACCUGCCUGGUAGCGGGGGAUAACUAUUGGAAACGAUAGCUAAUACCGCAUAAUAGCAGUUGUUGCAUGAUAACUGUUUGAAAGGUGCAAUUGCACCACUACCAGAUGGACCUGCGUUGUAUUAGCUAGUUGGUGGGGUAACGGCUCACCAAGGCGACGAUACAUAGCCGACCUGAGAGGGUGAGCGGACACACUGGGACUGAGACACGGCCCAGACUCCUACGGGAGGCAGCAGUAGGGAAUCUUCGGCAAUGGACGGAAGUCUGACCGAACAACGCCGCGUGAGUGAAGAAGGUUUUCGGGUCGUAAAGCUCUGUUGUAAGGGAAGAACGAGUGUGAGAGUGGAAAGUUCACACUGUGACGGUAUCUUACCAGAAAGGGACGGCUAACUACGUG